CCAAAUUAGUGUCUUUAAUAAAAGAAAGAAAAUCAACCCAUCAUCUUUACUUUUUCUCUCGUGGCUUCAUCUAAAGGUGCCACAUUAUUUGUUUUAUUUUCAAUAAAAUAAAAGGAACCCAAAUCCAACCGAAUUUCUCUGUUUCAUCAUCUCUCUCACUCAAAUUAUUGAUGCCGGUGGCUUGAAUAACCACCGCUGCUGCCCCAUGAUUUUCUCUCUCCUUUGCUCUGUUCUGUCCGUCCAUUUCAAGCAACAUGCACUCAUUUUUUAGUCUUUAUUCCUUCACCAAAGUUGUAGAUCUCUUCGAGUUAUUGAAUUUAGGCUCAAAAAUUUCUUCAAUUGGAGUUCGGAGCUAUGAGCUAUGGGAUUUGCAAGUUUGGUGUUGCUGUUGCACAUACUUCUUGAUGCGUUGCUGCUGCUAUCUGUUCCUUCUUGAUGUAGUGUAGUUGCGUCUGUGUCUGAGUGUUGUGUAGUUGUUGUUGGUGCUUGCAAUCAUCAUUGUCUUCAUCUUUUGUGGAGGUAUAACUUAAGCUAUCUUCCUCCUCUUCUUUAAUUCUAAGAUUCGAAUCCUGGAUGUAAAUGAAUUUUAUUUUCUGAUUUCACAAAUAGAUUCAGUUCUCAAAAUUUUUAUUAUUUGCAAAAUCAGCUAUGAUAAGAGUUUAUAAAAAUUAUAGAUUGAAUCUUUCCUCUGUAUCGAAUGAAUUGAAGGUUACAAUAUGCAUGUCUUGAUUUUCUUUAGAGUUAGUUAAAAAAGCUGAUUUUUUAAUUGAUUAUUUUGUUCUGAAUAUUCUCUAUGAAUCGGUUUUGAGGUUAAUUAGAGUUACAAUGUAAGAUUGAUGAUGUGAGUUCAAUUAGUAGUAUGGUUAGCAUAUAAGGGGUUUAUGGGUAGUUCAUGAAGUGCUAAGAAGUUGUGAGUUAAAUUAGUAGUAUGGUUCUUUAUCUAAGUUGCAGUAAGGAUGUUGAUUGUUUUCAUUGUUGUGAGGUGAAUUUUGGAGAAUGCUUUGGAGACGCGUACGAUUCAAGCUAAGAUGGAGACUAAUUUUAAGAUACUUGGAGGUUUAUUAAUAGAGGAUCAUAUUGUGUGCGAGGCCUUGAGUUGGAAGCUCAGAGUGGAUCAAAGCCAGAAUUUUGUUGUUGAGUAGUAAAUAGAUUAGUGAUUCAGAAUUUGUAAGAAGUAUUCAAGUGCUUUAUGAAUAAAAUAUUAUACUGUUUUGGGAACCGAGUAAGGUAUUAUGUAAUAUAUUAUUUGGAUUUAAAGAUGAUUUGUUGUGGGCCCAUGACCGACAGGUCUAGGAUCGUUUUCUGGGUUCUGACUCCGCUACGAGUGAAUAUAAUUCAAGGUUAUUAAGUGAUAAA